GACGAACGCUGGCGGCGUGCCUAAUACAUGCAAGUCGAGCGAGUCUGCCUUGAAGAUCGGAGUGCUUGCACUCUGUGAAACAAGAUACAGGCUAGCGGCGGACGGGUGAGUAACACGUGGGUAACCUGCCCAAGAGAUCGGGAUAACACCUGGAAACAGAUGCUCAUACCGGAUAACAACAGAUGAUGCCUAUCAACUGUUUACACGAUGGUUCUGCUCUCACUCUUGGAUGGACCUGCGGUGCAUUAGCUAGUUGGUAGGGUAACGGCCUACCAAGGCGGUGAUGCAUAGCCGAGUUGAGAGACUGAUCGGCCACAUUGGGACGGAGACACGGCCAAAACUCCUACGGGAGGCAGCAGUAGGGAAUCUUCGACAAUGGACGGAAGUCUGAUGGAGCAACGGCGCGUGAGUGAAGAAGGGAUUCGGCGCGUAAAGAGCUGUUGUUGGUGAAGAAGGACAGGGGUAGUAACUGAACUGUGUUUGACGGUAAUCAAUGAGAAAGUCACGGCUAACUAAGUG
rnacentral:rRNA from 1 species